UAGGGAAUCUUCCGCAAUGGACGAAAGUCUGACGGAGCAACGCCGCGUGAGUGAAGAAGGAUUUCGGUUCGUAAAACUCUGUUGUUAGGGAAGAAAAAAUGUAUAGUAACUAUAUACAAAAGAGACGGUACCUAACCAGAAAGCCACGGCUAACUACGUGCCAGCAGCCGCGGUAAUACGUAGGUGGCAAGCGUUGUUCGGAAUUAUUGGGCGUAAAGCGCGCGCAGGUGGUUUAGAAAGUCUGAUGUGAAAGCCCACGGCUCAACCGUGGAGGGUCAUUGGAAACUAAUAAACUUGAGUGCAGGAGAGAAAAGUGGAAUUCCGAGUGUAGCGGUGAAAUGCGUAGAGAUUAGGAGGAACACCGGUGGCGAAAGCGGCUUUUUGGCCUGCAACUGACACUGAGGCGCGAAAGCGUGGGGAGCAAACAGG
rnacentral:rRNA from 1 species